UACAGAGGUCUCAAGCGUUGUUCGGAAUCACUGGGCGUAAAGGGUGCGUAGGUGGCGUGGAAAGUCAGAUGUGAAAGCCCGGGGCUCAACCCCGGAAUAGCCUUUGAGACUGCAUCGCUAGAAUUGUGGAGAGGUAAGUGGAAUUCCGAGUGUAGAGGUGAAAUUCGUAGAUAUUCGGAAGAACACCAGUGGCGAAGGCGACUUACUGGACACAUAUUGACGCUGAGGUGCGAAAGCGUGGGGAGCAAACAGG
rnacentral:rRNA from 1 species